UACAGAGGUCUCAAGCGUUGUUCGGAUUCAUUGGGCGUAAAGGGUGCGUAGGCGGCGCGGUAAGUCGGGUGUGAAAUCUUGGAGUUUAACUCCGAAACUGCAUUCGAUACUGCCGUGCUUGAGGACUGGAGAGGAGACUGGAAUUUACGGUGUAGCGGUGAAAUGCGUAGAUAUCGUAAGGAAGACCAGUGGCGAAGGCGGGUCUCUGGACAGUUCCUGACGCUGAGGCACGAAGGUCAGGGGAGCAAACGGG
rnacentral:rRNA from 1 species